rnacentral:rRNA from 1 species
AGCUCUAAUAGCGUAUAUUAAAGUUGUUGCAGUUAAAGCUCGUAGUCGGAUUUCGGGCUCGGGCAGGCUGUCGGCCUCGGUCGGACGGCAGGCUCGGGCCUUUCUGCCUGGGGACUCCGUCACACUUAAUUGUGGGGCGGCUGGACGCAGGCCGUUUACUUUGAAAAUUAGAGUGUUCAAAGCAGGCCUACGCUUGAAUACAUUAGCAUGGAAUAAUGGAAUAGGACUUUGGUGCUAUUUUGUUGGUUUAUGGGACCGAAGUAAUGAUUAACAGGGACAGUUGGGGCCGUUUA